AUUGAACGCUGGCGGCAUGCUUUACACAUGCAAGUCGAACGGCAGCGCGGGCUUCGGCCUGGCGGCGAGUGGCGAACGGGUGAGUAAUGCAUCGGAACGUGCCCAGUAGUGGGGGAUAGCCCGGCGAAAGCCGGAUUAAUACCGCAUACGACCUGAGGGUGAAAGCGGGGGACCGAAAGGCCUCGCGCUAUUGGAGCGGCCGAUGUCGGAUUAGCUAGUUGGUGGGGUAAAGGCUUACCAAGGCGACGAUCCGUAGCUGGUCUGAGAGGACGACCAGCCACACUGGGACUGAGACACGGCCCAGACUCCUACGGGAGGCAGCAGUGGGGAAUUUUGGACAAUGGGGGCAACCCUGAUCCAGCCAUGCCGCGUGCGGGAAGAAGGCCUUCGGGUUGUAGACCGCUCUUGUUCGGGAAGAAAUCCUCUGGGCUAAUACCCCGGGGGGAUGACGGUACCGGAAGAAUAAGCACCGGCUAACUACGUG
rnacentral:rRNA from 1 species